AUUGAACGCUAGCGGCAUGCUUUACACAUGCAAGUCGAACGAGUGGCGGACGGGUGAGUAAUAUAUCGGAACGUGCCCAGUCGCGGGGGAUAACUACUCGAAAGAGUGGCUAAUACCGCAUACUAUUGUAUCGGCCCCUAUGGGAUUAGCUCGUUGGUUGGGUAAAGGCUCACCAAGGCAACUAUCCCUAGCUGGUUUGAGAGGAAGACCAGCCACACUGGUACGGCGACACGGCCCAGACUCCUACGGGAGGCAGCAGUGGGUAAUUUUGGACAAUGGGGUAAACCCUGAUCCAGCCAUGCCGCGUGUAUGAGAAGGCCUUCGGGUUGUAAAGUACUUUAGGCAGAGAAGCGGGAUCUGAAGAAUAAGCACCGGCUAACUACGUGCCAGCAGCCGCGGUAAUAG
rnacentral:rRNA from 1 species